UACAGAGGGGGCAAGCGUUGUUCGGAAUUACUGGGCGUAAAGGGCGCGUAGGCGGCUUUGCAAGUCGGGUGUGAAAUCCCCAGGCUUAACCUGGGAACUGCAUUCGAGACUGCAUUGCUAGAGUAUGGGAGAGGGAAGUGGAAUUUCCGGUGUAGCGGUGAAAUGCGUAGAUAUCGGAAGGAACAUCAGUGGCGAAAGCGACUUCCUGGACCAAUACUGACGCUCAUGUGCGAAAGCGUGGGGAGCAAACAGG
rnacentral:rRNA from 1 species